UACGGAGGGUGCGAGCGUUGUCCGGAAUCACUGGGCGUAAAGGGUGCGUAGGCGGGUCUUUAAGUCAGGGGUGAAAUCCUGGAGCUCAACUCCAGAACUGCCUUUGAUACUGAAGAUCUUGAGUUCGGGAGAGGUGAGUGGAACUGCGAGUGUAGAGGUGAAAUUCGUAGAUAUUCGCAAGAACACCAGUGGCGAAGGCGGCUCACUGGCCCGAUACUGACGCUGAGGCACGAAAGCUAGGGGAGCAAACAGG
rnacentral:rRNA from 1 species